CGCCGGGCUCAUGGGAGAGGCACCCCUCCGCCCCAGGCCGCCUCGUGCGUAUGGCGCCGCCCCAGUCUCCAAACAGCUAACCUCGAACUAGGAUGCGGCCCUCUGCGCCACCCCGUGGGAACCAAGGGUACCAAAACCUCCCGGGGAGACCGGCCUUGGACAAGAGAACGUUCCUCGCAAGCGGAUUUUUUUCCUCAUAUCGUUGUUUUUAAAGACUUUGUCUCCCAAUCAAGAGAAUGAUUUGACUCUACCCUGUCCAUCCUAUCCCCGGCCUCUAUACGCCCCGCUACCCCCAACAGUUGAUUGCAUCCAUGGACACAGAACCCAAGGAUACAGAGGGCCUUGAAUUUGAAUAAAUGAGACAGCAAGAGACACCAGAGAGCUACUGGGAAACCGUGGCAUCUUGUUUCACAGACCGAAGCAGCCUUUGGUUCAUCCAGGAACAGCCCAUCCUCUGGACCUUCAGGACUGUAUCAUUGGGAGCAGAAAGGGCCAGGAGUGCCACACUA